UACGGGGGGGGGCAAGCGUUGUUCGGAAUUACUGGGCGUAAAGGGCUCGUAGGCGGCCAACUAAGUCAUACGUGAAAUCCCUCGGCUUAACCGGGGAACUGCGUCUGAUACUGGAUGGCUUGAGUUCGGGAGAGGGAUGCGGAAUUCCAGGUGUAGCGGUGAAAAUGCGUAGAUAUCGGGAGGAACACCGGUGGCGAAGGCGGUUCUCUGGGCCUUACCUGACGCUGAGGAGCGAAAACGUGGGGG
rnacentral:rRNA from 1 species